rnacentral:rRNA from 1 species
CGGCGGGCGGGUGAGUAACGCGUGGGCAACCUGCCUUACACAGGGGGAUAACAGUUAGAAAUGACUGCUAAUACCGCAUAAGACCACAGGACUGCAUGGUCCGGUGGUAAAAACUCCGGUGGUGUAAGAUGGGCCCGCGUCUGAUUAGGUAGUUGGCGGGGUAACGGCCCACCAAGCCGACGAUCAGUAGCCGACCUGAGAGGGUGACCGGCCACAUUGGGACUGAGACACGGCCCAGACUCCUACGGGAGGCAGCAG